rnacentral:rRNA from 1 species
AGUGAACGCUGGCGGUAGGCCUAACACAUGCAAGUCGAACGGCAGCACAGGAGAGCUUGCUCUCUGGGUGGCGAGUGGCGGACGGGUGAGGAAUACAUCGGAAUCUACUCUGUCGUGGGGGAUAACGUAGGGAAACUUACGCUAAUACCGCAUACGACCUACGGGUGAAAGCAGGGGACCUUCGGGCCUUGCUCGAUUGAAUGAGCCGAUGUCGGAUUAGCUAGUUGGCGGGGUAAAGGCCCACCAAGGCGACGAUCCGUAGCUGGUCUGAGAGGAUGAUCAGCCACACUGGAACUGAGACACGGUCCAGACUCCUACGGGAGGCAGCAGUGGGGAAUAUUAGACAAUGGGCGCAAGCCUGAUCCAGCCAUACCGCGUGGGUGAAGAAGGCCUUCGGGUUGUAAAGCCCUUUUGUUGGGAAAGAAAUCCAGCUGGCUAAUACCCGGUUGGGAUGACGGUACCCAAAGAAUAAGCACCGGCUAACUUCGUGCCAGCCGCCGCGGUAA